rnacentral:rRNA from 1 species
GAUGAACGCUGGCGGCGUGCCUAAUACAUGCAAGUCGAGCGAACAGACGAGGAGCUUGCUCCUCUGACGUUAGCGGCGGACGGGUGAGUAACACGUGGAUAACCUACCUAUAAGACUGGGAUAACUUCGGGAAACCGGAGCUAAUACCGGAUAAUAUAUUCAACCGCAUGGUUCAAUAGUGAAAGACGGUUUUGCUGUCACUUAUAGAUGGAUCCGCGCCGCAUUAGCUAGUUGGUAAGGUAACGGCUUACCAAGGCAACGAUGCGUAGCCGACCUGAGAGGGUGAUCGGCCACACUGGAACUGAGACACGGUCCAGACUCCUACGGGAGGCAGCAGUAGGGAAUCUUCCGCAAUGGGCGAAAGCCUGACGGAGCAACGCCGCGUGAAUGAUGAAGGUCUUCGGAUCGUAAAACUCUGUUAUUAGGGAAGAACAAAUGUGUAAGUAACUAUGCACGUCUUGACGGUACCUAAUCAGAAAGCCACGGCUAACUACGUG